AGAUACACGAAAAGUAAUUAAAUGGAUCAAGAAUUGGUGGUGCCUUUCGCGAAAAUCGAAGCAAAAGUACUUGGGGAAUUGGUUCCUAAUUUCGAAAAGCCUAAGAAAGAGAAGGCUAUUGGGAAAGUAGCUAGAAGCUUCGCUUUCUAACGACUGUGUCUCACGCUACGCGAUUACCAUGGGACUUUUCGGAGCAUACGAGAUGUCGACGGAUAUGAUCGAUCUCGUCGGAAAUAACAUUUCUUCCACUUUGCUUCUAUUCUGACCAUGUUCUCGGCGCCUUAUGCCAGCCAUCUUUUUCGUGACUAAUCGAUCGGGCCAAUGACUUCAUAAGCAUGGAAGCAACAUGAAAGCUACUUUUAAAUACGUUUCUUCGAUGUUACUAUUUAUUUUUUUUUUCUUUCUUCUUUUUUCAUAUCCUAGUCCGUUCAAAUGGACUGCCUGCUGUCUUCGUGUGACUAUUUUGAAGAUAGUAAAUAAAUCGAAUAUAUUUCUAAAAAUAAAUAAGUAAUAAAGUACGGGUUCUAUUUUUUUAAUAAUACAAGAAAUAAAUAGAAUACGAUGGUCUUCGAAUAGCACUUUAAAAAUAUUUCGCAUAAUGUAGAGAAUAUAGUACGAAAAAGAGAGAGAAAAGGUGGGCGUUCUUCGAGGAGUUUUACGUGAUGGAAACGAUACGGUAGCAUCGAAUGUGACGGAAAAAGAUAGAAGGAGAGAACGGUAGCGUCGAGUCAAACAGAAAAGUCUUAUUCCCCAUCUGACUCUGACGGCGUCCAUCGCGCUAGAAGCUAACUUUAGUCCCCGCUGACGGGAUUAUCCGUCACUCGAAAUUGGCAGAUCGCAGCCGCGAUCGCAGCAGCAGUCGGAGAUGCGAUCUCUACGGCCAAUUACGUAACCAGGUCGACAUAGCUCGGUGGCAUCGCGACGGAAAUAUUUGGCCUGUAAUAUCGUUCAUUUUCUCUCUUCCUCUUACUCCUUGAAAUUAACUCUAUUGUACACUUUCAAUAUCAAAAAAAUAUAGAUAAAGGCGAUUCCGUCUCAUUAAACAAAAAGAAAAAAAAAAAAAAAAGAAAAACCAAAAUAAUCUAUGAAUCAUCGUCUGAAAUUAAAAAGAUUCCUUGGAUGAGUUUAUUUUCUUAUUCCGAGUUGGCAAACGAUUUCGUCGAAGCCAUUUUGCUUUAUGAAUAUUCGAGUAUGGAUUUGGAAAAAAACGAUGGCAAAAAAUGAAUUAUAUAGAAAAUAUAAGUUCGCGAAAAGAAAAUCAAUGUAUUACGUUAGAACGUUGCCAAGUUCCUAACUACUACUUACCACUUAUUACUAACUUGUAGAAAUGCGUUACAUUGGUAAACGUUUGGCGAAUUCGCUCGGUCGACUAGAUAUACCGAGUACAUCCGAGUGAUGAUAAUUUCUACUGGUCUAGCAAACGAUCAACAUCGUCCGCGCAUUCGGCGUAUCCCGAGUAAACUCAUUUGAUGCCCCUGGGACCGAGGGCGAGAUAGAGGAAGAGGAUUAACUCGGUGGAGAUCCUCAAAUAACAGUUUCGCUUGCCGUACCAACCGUAUGACAGGUCAUUUAAUGUUGCAAACCACGAAAUCUCGAAGGAACGAUCGAAGCCACUUUCCCGACCGAUCCUUCGAAUAAUAACAACGUCAUGCGUUUUCCAUCGGCUCAAUUCGACAACUUUGGAUUAUCGAUUUCUUCGAAACAUCUCUUUCUAUUUCUUUCUUUCUUUUAAUCGACAACAAUAAUAAGAAAUAAAUCUUGAAACGAUUCCUUCCGAGGCUUUCGUAUUAAACGCACAAGAACUCAGUUUGUUUUUAAUCUAGUAAAACUAUAAAACGUCAAGUACAGCCAUAAACUAUCCCUCUCCAAGUCGUUAUCGUUUCAGCAUAAUUAUUAUUACUGCUCUUUUAAAAGGAUAUAAAAGCACGUCGGAUACUUUAUCGUUGGUGGUUAACUUAAACGAUUGGACUAGAUGAACGAAAAUAUCAAUAAUUUUUUCAAAGAUUAACGGAGCUUCAUUAUUAAGUUAUCGUAAUUAAAAACAUUUCGAAAGGGUCGAAAAUGCAAAGGGAAAAGCUGAAUUCGAGAUUGAUUUUCUCCUCGUAAAACGUUGAUACGUCCUAUAGAAUCUCUAUGAAUUCUUUUCGUCGUCGACUGCGAACAACGAAUAGGCAAAGUAAUUGUUCUGAUUUAUGCGCCGUGUGAGUCUCGCUUAAGCGACGAACGACACUGGAGCAAGCCAAGGGGAACGCGAUGUUCAAUUAUAUGGCCAACUGGCUGUACGCCAAUCACGCUUUGGUACAUACGUACUUAUGUACUUACGUUCCUUUGAUUCGUUCGUUUCGCUCGAUCAUCGCCGUGGGUCUUGCCUUCCGCUAUGAGCCUUCCAUGCUAGACGAUGAUCGUUCGUAAACUAAACUUUUGCGAAAGAUCGCAUAUGUUUUUCGUCUGUUUGACUUUUACGUACGAACUUUCUUGUUUCUUUUUAUAUUUGUUUACUAUACAAGGUGGUAUUUCACUAGCGUUUCGUAUAUUCCUAAUUGACCUUCAAGGAUAAAUAAUCAUUGAUUUCCGUACUGUCGAUUUAUGUCAAUGAAAAUGUUAUUUACCCAUUAGACAAAUGAAAACUAAUUUAUUGAAAUACGACGAACUAUUUGUGCCUAUGCACGUAUCGUUCGUUUAUGUAUCACUUUUGAAAAUAUUUAUCUUGUUUUUCCCUUUCCUACGUAUCGAAAUUAAACUUUGAAGAAAGUUUCGAAAUAGGUCAAGAUCGAGUCGAUUCCGUCGUGCUAUUUAGAACCUCAUCGUUCGCAGAAACUAGGUUGAAAUAUUUUUUCUCUUUUUUUUUUUCUUCUCUUUCUUUUUUUUUCUUUUUUCAAAGCGGACUUUAUAAUUAAACGAAAAAUCGUCAAAGGACAAACUUUUUUUUUAGAAUUAUCCGUAUUAAAGACAUCUUCUAUUUUUUCUUUUUUUCUUUCCCGCAAUGAUCGAUUUUUACGACGAAUGGAAAACUGGUAUUUCCUUGAACGUCGUAUAACGUCGUUUUAUUUCGAAAACGAGUGGUCGAUCUCACUUUUUCGUGCUUGCCAUCAUGCCACCCACCUACGAUCGUUUUUCGUCGUCGGAUGAAUAAAACAGACGACUUCGUAAUCGUAAAUCGAUUUGCCCGGAAAAUACUACUUUAAUGAUCCCUGCCAUAUUUUACGAGCUUAUAUCUAUCCUUUGUAGCGAGACAAGGGUGGCACGGUCAGGCAGUUCUAUCACUGUCACCUACGAACAGAAGGGAACUGCUGCUUUCUAUUAUAACGACGUUUCGCAUUUAUUUAUCAUCGAAAUCUAACUACCUUUCUUUCUUUUUUUCGAGAUCAAUCAAUUCAAAUGUUAAAUCGACUAAUUAUAAUUAUCGAUGAUAACUAUGAUUAUAUGCUAUAUCUAUCGUAUAAAACAAUUUUGCCAAGAGAUUUAUCAUCGACGAAUAAGUCACGGUUUCGUUAUAGACGCUUGUAAAUCAUCGAAAGCAAUUGAUCGAUCGUGACAGACACGUUUCUCUAGAGAUCGAUUCAAGAUGCUUCGAGAUGUUCGUCAAAUUGACGCAAAUAGAUUAGUGCCAAGUAGAUCGCAAACAAGGCCAAAUAUCUUUAUCGUUCGUAAAAGUGUCUAAGGUUAAGUGACUCGCGAACGAAUUAGUUGAAAGACUCUCGAUUAAUUCUCUGCUCCCAAGUAAUUCUCUUUCUUUUUUCCUUCUUUUUAUCUGCUUUUUCUUCGCAGUGCACUCAUCGAGAUUAAGGCCGAUGUCGAAGAGAACGCACGAAAGUUGGGUGACCAUCGAUUCGAGGUGCGGACUUUUUCCUAGAAAUUUAAAGGCAAAGUCGCAUGGUUCUCUCUGAGUGAGAGCGGUAAUCGUAAAGUUCGACGCCGAAAAGAAAAGAUUCCGAAGAGAAACUUUAACUGCAAAGUCCUACAGUAUGUACGCAAACGCUAUCGAAGAAAGCUUAUCGAUCUCCCUCUCCCUUUCAUUCUAUUUCUUUCUCAUUUUCUUAUGCUUGCAGCUACUCUUUCAAGAUUAUCUAUCUUAGUUAUGUUUCAUAGGGUAUGAAAAUUUUAUUUUCUCUCUCUAUCUAUUUAUCUAUUUCCCGUAAUUGUAAGAUAUUUAUCAGUUAUCGUCAUUAUUUCGUUCGAUUUACACAUAUCCAUUGAAAAUCGUAGAAAUUAUUCGCGACAAAAUUAAUUGCGCCAAGCCAAAGUUUUUCAAUCUCCGUUGAACGCUGGAACGAUAUUAACUCGAUUAUUUCCUCCAAUUAAGUCAGGAAGAAAAAGAAGAUAAAACACACAGAGUUGCGCUUUCUUUUCGCCGGCGUGACGAGGAUUUUCUCGGGAAUAAAAAAGGCAAAGUUCACCAAAUUUAUCAGGUGAUAAAUUAAUUUUAAAGCCGUUUAAUCGUUAUCCCUUUCACAGCUCUAUUCUUCAAUGCGAAAUAAAAAAGUAUUUCAUCCCUUUCCUUUUAUUUCUCUUAUAAAGAUCGGCAGACUAUGAUUGCAUUUAGCUUUGAUUCGAAUUAAUAAAUAAAAAUAAAAGUAUCUUAACGCAAUGCAUUCGUUCGCUAAACGAUUCUUAUAGCUUUUGUACAAUUUAACGGUAAUAUCGAAAGACCUACAGGAUGGAUAAAAGUGACAGGACGAUUGACAUGACCAAAUCGAGUAUAACGGUUGAACUAUGUUGAGGGAGGGAAAGAGACACAGAGAGAAGAGAAAGGAUGAGACGUAUAGAAUCGAAAACCGACGUGAAUCUGGUGCCCAAACGACAGGUGGAUCUGCGGGUAGCAACGAGUUUCAGGCCAUUACUACCAUUGAAUAUUUCAGCGAUGGGACGCGCUGGGAAGUUGCCGAGGGAAGACAGAGAAACGGACGACCCUGCGUCUAUUAUUUAUUGCGUUACACUCGCGGCAAGGCAAAGCUCUCCCUCCCUCUCUUUCUCUGUGUUUCGCGCACCCUGCAAACGUUCCUACGUCUCACCCCUAUCACUGCCGGUCCCGUACAUCAUUGCACAUUAUUCAUACGACGAAAUUUGAAUUAUACAUUCAAUAGGAACGUCGAGACGUCUCGUAGAGAUGCCUUGAGUGCAACCACGACGUUCCUUUCCGUACUAAACUAUGAAAACUAACGUUCGAGUAUGGCAUCCAGAGCAUACUAUUUGGAAAAUGUCUGGAAAAGGAAUGGAACGUCGAAUGGAUGGAAAUAAUAGUCUAGAAAGGUUCCUGUCGAUCGAGCAAAUAUUGCGAUUGACGGAAUUUUGGAAACUUAGUUUCCGACGAUACCAAGAGGGAGAUAGAGAUAGAGAGAGAUAGAGAAAGAGAGAGAGAGAGAGAGAGAGAGAGAGAGAGAGAGAGAGAGAGGCCAAAAUAAUAUCACUACUCAAAAGAAAUGUUUUCAUUACACUUUGGUCCUGGCAUCGCAACGCAUCUUCGUCAGCUCCAUAGAAAUUGCAGUUUUAGUCGGGUCGUGCAUUUUGAUAAGGGGAGCUAAUAGAGCGCGCUCGACUUUUUCUAUGUAUACCCGUUCUUAUGUACACGUACACGUACGUAGCUACAUAGGUAAAUACAUACGCACUCACUGCUCUUUAUAUUACGCGAGUUUAAAUUCGUUCCAUCUCGGCCGACAGAAAAUAGAGAUUUGUAGAGUUAAACUCCGUCGUCGAGCGUUGGCCGAGAUGGAAAACUAGAAAUAUAAAGAGAGGAUGAGAGGAACACAGAGUUCGUGCGGAAUGCGAGACGUUCAUAUCCAUCGUAAAACGAAUCGCGUAAACAAGAGCGCACGCGUGCUCUUCCAUCCUACGAUUAAAUAUUCGUCUUCUCUUUUCUUCCAUAUACAUUGCAUCGCAUAGUCCUUAUAGAGAUGAGUGAGGGAGAGAGAGAGAGAGAGAGAGAGAGAGAAUAAAAGAAAAAACAUGAAAAAUAAAAUUAUGCCUAUAAGAUAGCCGUACGUACCGCAUUGUAAACAUUGAAAGCCCAUACUGUUUCUACUUCUCUUUAAUCUUUACUUACACAAUGUAUCCGCUACCUCAUUAUUCAAGGUAUGAUGAGCGAUGAAUUAUAUUAUAUUACACUCGUGGUUAUUACUUCACGUACGUUGCAGCGAAUAACAGCGAGCGCGAAAGAAACAUUUUUAUUUUUCUUUUUUCUUUUUUCACUCGAUAUUAUCAUUCAACGAUCGUGGCUUUAACACGAUACGAACGAAAGACGCAUUGAGGGUGCAUCAUUGACGCAAUUCAAUUAUCGAUUUCGAUACGUAAAGAGAGAGUAAAAGAAAUAAAGAAAAGAAAUAAGAAGGAACAUUGUUCUUAGAAUUCCCGUAUCCGGCCUAAAUUUCGCUACGAAUUCGAGGUUUCGCGGCACGAGGCAUGGCACUCCGCGGAUAAUUCCGGAAAUUGGAGCUGCGAGUUCUGCUUCUCGUCUAGGAGACGCACGUUUUAACCCCGUAGAAUUUUCUCCUCUGAAACGUUUCUUCCUCCGCCAUUCACAUUACCAUUUUCCGCGCAGAAAGAGAGUUUUUAACAUUCACAGAGCAAAGGGGGAUUAAACGAUUUAAAAGAUUGUCGAGAAAUUAUGCAUUCCAUUUGAAGGACGCGUCAAAGGGUUCCCUCAGCGAGAAAGAGAGCGAUAGAGAGGAAGAGGGGGAAACGGAGAUAGAUAGAGAAAGAAAAACGUAGACGGGAGGAAAAGAGAGAGAGAGAGAGAGAGAGAGAGAGAAGAAACGUUUAGGAACACAUUCGAGUCUCCGCUUCUUCUGUGAAGAGCUUUUUUCAAGCUUUUAAAACAUAAUACAAUGAAGAACAGAGAGAGAGAGAGAGAGAGAGAGAGAGAGAGAGAGAGAGAGAGAGAGGGAGAGAGAGAGAGAGGGAGAGAGAAGAAAAAGGCGCAGCUCGUCGAAAGAUAAAUUCUAAAGCGUUACGACAAAUCGUAUUUGAACGGACACGCGAAGAUCUUUCUCUCUUUCCUUCUUUCUUCCUUUCUUUCUCAAAAACUCUCCAAGUAUAAGAAUCGAUUGUGAGUUUCCGACGUUAAUACCGGACUGAAAGCUCAAGGCAACCUUACGAAAGACGGUAGAGACGAGCAGUCUGACAAUAAUUUAUAGCGAAGUACAUCGUAGAGAACAAUUAGAGGCACGCGAUCGGUUUACAACACGCAACUCUUUGAAAGUGAAAUUUCCAAAUAAUCGAGAAGGACCAAUCGUUCUUAACCAAUCUUGGCGGCUAUAACAUGAUAAAGGAAUUUCGAUUUCGAUAAGUGCACGUAAUACGCAAACUAUCGUAUCGCGAGCUAUCUCUCAUAAUUACUCAAAUCUUGAACGUUAUAAUCUCGAUAAAAGAUGUCACUGUGUAAACAGAAUUAGAAAGAGAUAGAGAGAGAGAGAGAGAGAGAGAGAGAGAGAAAGGGAAGAAUGGACAAUGAAAUUCGCACGAAUCUAUCGAUGUCUAUAAUUUUCAAGGAUAGCAAUAGAAUCGAAAGAGAGAACGAAUGGAUGGACGAAAACGUAGUAGCAUUAAUCGUUGCGAAAACGAUCGAGUAUAAAUUCGAAAACCAAAACCAGCUCGAUCCUCGAAAAUUUGUAAAGUUUCCACCCAGUCCUUUCCAUUCUCGGUCGCCUCGUGUUUUACGUUGCAACGACCAAUUCGACACGUUUAUUUAGAUCGACCGAAUUAUAAAAGCUCGGCUACUGUAUUAUAUUGGACGUAUUUUAAUCGCGGUAUCGCACAUACAGAACGUAUCUUCCAGUCGAUUUUGCAGUUGCCAAAUUAAAAUAACUUUACGGGUUGUCCGGUGAUGCCGGUAGUCGUGUUGUUGGUUUUGAUAGCAACGAAGCGGACAAAUGCUGCAAAUGAAGCAGAAGAAGGAAACAGAGACGACACGGAAACAAGAUAAAAAAGAAAAAAAGAGAAAAAGGAAAAGGAAAAAACGGUCGAGAAAAAGGAAAAGGAGAAAGAUUUCCUUUUAUUUGAUCCAACGAGUGAGUCAGAAGAACAGAGAGAACGAGGGAAAAGGAGAGAAAGAGAAAGAGAGAAAAGACGAAAGAGAUCGAGCUGUAAGAGCAGCGACACUCGUCGAGCCUGCAACGAAUUGCUUCUCAUAGAAAAACGUUCUUUCCCUUCCUUCUCUAUCCUCAUUUGGCCACCCUUGGACGUUCUUCGUGACGAACUGCUUCUUAAUUUCGUAAGUGAGGAAGAAGAAGAGGAAGAAGAAAAAGAAGAAGAAAAAGAAGAAGAAGAAAAAGAAAUAAGAGAAACAGCGACAACGAAAACAGGAGACUUUCGUGAAAAGGCAAGCUUCCUUACGUCGAAUUCACCCUCAUUCGCCGUUUUCGCCCUCUGUCUUUCCUCCACCUCCCCUUUCCAUCCGUACCGGCGAUAAUGAAAAAGCUGCGGGUCGUUCUAAGGUGCAGCAAAAUGAGACAUCGACCAGGAGGAGCACCCUACAAUUUUGCCACUUUAUCCGACUCCGUCGAAGCACGUGCUUUUUGGCUUUAUCGAAAUCAAGGUUGAAGAGCAUCGAUCCCUAACUCGACAGAUAGACAUGUUUUCUUUUUCUCGUAGUAAUGAUAAGAAUGGUUUACGAAAAAUUGACGUAGAAUGGAAUGAGACGAAAUAGGACAGUAUAGAGUAGAAUAGAAUAGAAGAGAAUAGAAUAGGAUGAAAUAGGAUAGAGUAGGAUAGAAUAGAACAGAAUAGAAUAGAAUAGAAUAGAAUAGAAUAAAGUGGAACAGAAUAAAAUAGAAUAGAACAGAACAGAAACUGAAUCCUCUCAAUCGUUAUUUCUGAUCGAAGUUUUAAGCGAAACGUUGACAUACAUUUUUCCCCACGCAUUUCUCGAAACUUUUCUGUUUACCGAUAUUCAACGUUUUUUGCGUUUGGAUCAUUUUCAGGAGAAACUUAUUCUCGAUCGGUUAUGACGAAUCUUUGUGGGAUAAGUCGAUGAAACGAGCCUUCCUCCCAAAAUCGAAACCCGAAAGAAAGGAAGGAAGGAAGGAAGGAAGGAAGGAAGGAAGGAAGGAAGGAAGAAGAAGAGUUGAGUUUCGAGUAUCCACCGGUCCGUUCACGAUCAUUUCCAUAGAAUGAAACGCCGCGCGCCUUUGUCAACGAUCAAUCGGCUGUCAUGCAUCAGAAGUGAUUUGAUUUCGCAUAAACGGAUAUGAAAGCCAGAAGGUUGGUGUCCGACAAGAUGAACACGGUGGGCACGGUGGACAAGCUGGAUCAUUACAAGGUUGUUUCUCAAUGCAACGCGAUGAAACGGAAGGUGGAUGUACGACGAGAGCUUCCGCGAAAGUCAAUGCCAUCUUGGUUGAAACGAUUGCUAAGUUAUACAGCAGCGGAAGUUUGCAGCGGAUAAAAGAAAAGAAAGAAAAGAAAAAAAAACAAAAAAAAAAAAACAAAACAACAAAACGAAAGAACAAACGCAAACAUUCAUGCGUCUGUUCCAUUCCGCAUAAUUUUCAUUCGCUAUCGCAAGAAAAUAAUGAUCCAGGAGACGCUGUAUCUUACUUACAUACGUACAAAAAAAAGACGAUUUCGUAAUCACAACAGACAUUAUAUAAUAAACCGUAUCUUUACAGGGGCAGAUACAUUGUAAAAUGAACAAGGAUAUCUUUUACGAAAUAUACACGCAUUAAGUUGUACGUUUGAUCCAGGAAUCGAUCGGCAACAUUAUGUACAAUACAACCACGAAAGAGUGCAUAACGAUAAUCGUCGCCGAAUCAGCAGCCAACGUGGUUGCACUUUCGAAUUUGGCACGCGGUACGUUUACUUUGCCCGUCGAUUUCCAUUUAGGUGUCCCUUUUGCACUGUAUUUUUUCCAAGAGUCGGGACGUCUAAACGCGCAAUGCUCUCGCUUCCUGGUAUAUUUCAUAAAAAUAAAAUGGGAGAUGAGAGAAGAAAGAAUUUUAACAAAGAAAAAAAAAGAUGAAAUACGAGAAAGCCUCCUUUUCUCUCUCUUUCUCUCUUCCUCUCCCCUUUAUCUUUAUCUCUCUGUUUCCUCCUAUUUCUAUCUAACGCACAUUAGAUAUCGUUUUAGAAUUUUCCAGGAAAAACGGAGCUUGCGUUCGACCGGGCGGACUCAUCGGUCCAGUUUUCGACUUCCAACCAGCUUGAAAUACGCGCUCACCCAACGUACGCGCGGAGCGAGGGGUUGAAAAAAGGGGUAGUAUAGAAAAAAAAAAGGUAGGUAAAGGAAGAAAAUGAAAUAAAAACAAUAAUAAUAAGUACCUAAGACGAAAUGUCAGUAACGAAUCGCCGUGGCUGCGUUAUAUACACGUUUUACCUCUCGCUCGCUCUCUCUCUCCCUCCCUCCCUCUCAAUCUUUCUCUCGCUUGCUUACUUUCCUUUUUUUAUUCUUUUCUUUCUGUACGCACGCUUAUGUUUCCCGAGAGAAGCUUAAAGUAUAAGCUAUCCUGGAAACUGAGAAGGACGCCGACGAAAUCCAUCGCACCGGUUACUCGCGAAUAACAAGCAACGAUCGUGACUGGAUAUGUCUCCUCUUUGUGCUCUGUACGUGUACGUGUGUUUCUUGUGUUUCAUGUAUAGCGUGUACGUUGUAUGUGUAUGUAUUAUUAUUCGAUGCUUUUUAAGUACAUGGACUAACCAACAUUUUUAUAAGUACUGCCGCAAAUACAUAACGAUCACGCUUCUGCUUCUUUAUAAACCUUCUACUGUAUUUUAUCUUUCAUUCUCCGUCUCUCUCGUUAUAUAUAUAGAUAUAUAUAUCUCUCUCUCUCUCUCUCACACACUCUUUCCCUCCUUUUUCUUUUCGAUCUCUGUUUUCCUUUUAAUCUCUUUUGAUUUUCGGGACGGACGGAAGGUGGCUUCACGAAAACCAUCCAUACUGAUCUCCGAAAAGCCACGACGACGAAUGCUCCUUGAUAUUUUUGUCUUUGUAUUCUGUUGUAUUUUGUCUUUGUAAUCUAAUCGCUUAUGCAAUGAUAUUGCUUCGCUUUUCGAUAAAAUAUUAUCUCUAACUUAAAACUAAUCUCUAGAGGUAACGAAAAAUAUCACAAUUUCAUAAACGAAACUGCUCAUUUUCCCGACACGAAUACUAUACGAACGAUAAAACAACCGAUAAUAAAAAGCGACUAUUGUAGUAUACAUUCUUCGAGAAGAAUGUGUUGUUGCAUGAUGGGCAAGUGUGAAGACGAUCGCCUACACAUUUCCAAUAUUUAUAUUUGCAUUUAAUGCAAAAUCCAGACGAUCUGAGGAUUUUGAUUUUUUCAUGAAUCCAGUUAGAAAAAUGAGGCUAACAUCGUCGCACACUUAGAAAUCAUACAAAACCAUUGUUAAUCAAUUAGCACAUAGUUUAAUCGAUAAUUAGUGAUCUUAAAUAAAUGAAUCGAUCACCAAUAUCACGUACUCAACCUCCGAUCAAAGACUACGCUACGCGAGCGAUGGUGAGAAGAAGCUGUUAACGGCGGACCUGGCAUCACUUAAAUUCACUACGCAGCUACGCGUGUAUAAAGCGUAUAGGGGAGGUGAUAAGAAGGAUAAAUUGGCAGAACGGUCUUCUAAAAUAUCCUCCGAAACUUAUAAAAAGUGUAAUACACAAGUCUUAUAUAGUACACACGUGUCAUGUACCAAGAAUGAAUCUUUUCAAUAAAUAAAUUCCCUAAGCGAAGACAAUAUUUUAUGAAACUUCAUAAAGUAAUGCGAUUAAAUCUGCGAGAGGCAGGCAUUCGUCGUUGUUCUUUUCUCAAUCAUAUCGGUUCAUUAAAUCGCUCUUUCUCUAUCUCUUUUAAUCGAAUUACAUUUAAAUAACUACUUUAUGUACAAUGCAUACAGAUCAUCCAAGUAACGAUCGAGCGCGUAUCUCGUAAUAUCAAUUUCAUAAAGAAAAGAAAAUGUAAGCUUCGCUUUUCUAUUUUGAGACGCGCUCGCUCGUCCUUCUCUCCCUCAUUCGUUCCAUUCUUUCGACUUGUUCUGCUUCCGAUCCGUUACGAAAAAUAAAACGAAAGCGUAGCCACCGCUAAUGAAAGACAGAAAGCCCCGAGAUGAAAUACUACCGCGAUUUUUUUUUCGUUUUUUCGUUUUUUCGUUUUUUUUUCCGUUUUUUUUUUUUUUUUUCUUUUUUUUUUAUUCUAGUACAAGGGAUCGAGGAGUUUCUCUCUUGAGUUUGUUUCUCGUCAAAUUGGACGAUCGUUUUCUGUCUCUCUCUCUCUCUCUCUCUCUCUCUCUUUCUCACUCUUCUACAGCGUUCCAUUUCAUUUCACUCAGUUUACUAAAUUUAUCGAUAUGCAUUACGUCAUGAUACAUUGUAUCUCGAUAUUCGUGAAAGUAUACGUUCUCCUUUGAUCGCUCCUAUAAUCCUCGAUAAUAUUAAAUGCAAUUCGAUCAUACGUAUAAUAGACAACGAUAGUGCAGGAUGUACUGCUUUCUAAUUUCAACAUCUAAAUUCUUUGUUUAUUUUAAGUAACUACGUGCAUUUUGCCGGAUAGGGAACGGUAGAGUAGUCGGUGCUUUGAUAACUCGUGAUCGUAUCCAAUCGAAUACAUAUCACAGUUCCAUCGUGAAAACAUUGACGUUUAAAAUAUCACGAAUUCGAUCAAUUUCAAACUUAUCAAAAACGAAUAAUCGAACGUGCCUUAUACGACCACGAGCCGGACUACGUGUUUAUUUUCAUGCUUUUUUCUCUUUUUUUUUUUUCUCCUUUUCCGAUUACGAAACAAAAACAAAAACAAAGAUAAAAAGUAACAAAAUGUCUCAAAAUAGAGCCAUAAGAAGAUAGACUCUUGUGCAGCGUAAUCUUGGUGCGUACAAUUUUGCGUCUCAUGCAGAACAACGAUAACCGCUCUCGGCUGGAGCCUAGACUAUCGAGAUUACUUUUAAUAUUCGAAUAUUAAUCGUCAUCGGACGAACAUUUAAAUAUGCAACUAGCAGAUAUGCAGCCCUUCUUCGAAGGCUGCCUUUCUUCGCAUAAGUACUCUUUUUAUCGUCGUCUACAGUCUUUUUUUCGAUCGAUCCAAGAAGACACACACACACACACACACACACACAUAUAUGUAUACAUAUAUGUGUGUAUAUACACACACACACUCUCUAUCUCUCUCACACACACACACACAUACA